GGCGCACCCAGAAACCCUUUGUGAACUUAUACCUUACUGUUGCCUCGGCGCUAGCUGGUCCUUCGGGGCCCCUCACCCUCGGGUGUUGAGACAGCCCGCCGGCGGCCAACCCAACUCUUGUUUUUACACUGAAACUCUGAGAAUAAAACAUAAAUGAAUCAAAACUUUCAACAACGGAUCUCUUGGUUCUGGCAUCGAUGAAGAACGCAGCGAAAUGCGAUAAGUAAUGUGAAUUGCAGAAUUCAGUGAAUCAUCGAAUCUUUGAACGCACAUUGCGCCCUCUGGUAUUCCGGAGGGCAUGCCUGUUCGAGCGUCAUUUCAACCCUCAAGCCUGGCUUGGUGAUGGGGCACUGCUUCUUACCCAAGAAGCAGGCCCUGAAAUUCAGUGGCGAGCUCGCCAGGACCCCGAGCGCAGUAGUUAAACCCUCGCUCUGGAAGGCCCUGGCGGUGCCCUGCCGUUAAACCCCCAACUUCUGAAAAUUUGACCUCGGAUCAGGUAGGAAUACCC
rnacentral:misc_RNA from 1 species